rnacentral:rRNA from 1 species
GAUGAACGCUGGCGGCGUGCCUAAUACAUGCAAGUCGAACGCGAGCCUUCGGGCUCGAGUGGCGAACGGGUGAGUAAUACGUAAGCAACCUGGCCUUUACAGGGGAUAACUGAUGGAAACGUCAGCUAAGACCGCAUAGGUACAGAGAUCGCGUGAUAACUGUAUUAAAAGUGCUACGGGACUGGUAGAGGAUGGGCUUACGGCGCAUUAGCUAGUUGGAGGGGUAACGGCCCACCAAGGCGACGAUGCGUAGCCGACCUGAGAGGGUGACCGGCCACACUGGGACUGAGACACGGCCCAGACUCCUACGGGAGGCAGCAGUAGGGAAUUUUCGGCAAUGGGGGGAACCCUGACCGAGCAACGCCGCGUGAAGGAAGAAGGAAUUCGUUCUGUAAACUUCUGUUAUAAAGGAAGAACGGCACAUAUAGGGAAUGAUAUGUGAGUGACGGUACUUUAUGAGGAAGCCACGGCUAACUACGUGCCAGCAGCCGCGGUAAUACGUAGGUGGCGAGCGUUAUCCGGAAUUAUUGGGCGUAAAGAGGGAGCAGGCGGCAGCAAGGGUCUGUGGUGAAAGGCUGAAGCUUAACUUCAGUGUGCCAGAGAAACCGGGCAGCUAGAGUGCAGGAGAGGAUCGUGGAAUUCCAUGUGUAGCGGUGAAAUGCGUAGAUAUAUGGAGGAACACCAGUGGCGAAGGCGACGAUCUGGACUGCAACUGACGCUCAGUCCCGAAAGCGUGGGGAGCAAAUAGGAUUAGAUACCCUAGUAGUCCACGCCGUAACC